AAGGACACACUUGCUUCCGCCGUGUCCACGAACGCGCGCCACUGAGCCCGUCGUGUGUCGUCCUCUCCUCCACUGGCACUGUCUACUCCUACGAGUCUUUGGUCUUGAAGCACUGAAUCUGUUGGUCGCAGCUGGAGUGGGACACGCAUGCGAACCUCUCCCCUGUGGCGACUUCAAAUGAAUAGCCGCCCGUUCUCAUUGGAGCGCAUCUUUGCCAUCAAUCUUGACCGCCGCCCUGAUCGCUGGGCAGCAGUACAAGCAGUAUGUGCUCGUGCCGGCCUCCCAGCAGAGCGAACGGAGCGCGUUCCUGCCGUUGAGGGCUCCCGUCUCGAUGUGAACGCUGCGCAUCGCUGCGGGUUUGUCUCUGCGCUGGGUCUGCGGCGACUGAAGGAGCCCCCGGAACACCACAUAUGGGGCAUGGACCUGAACAAGGCGGCGCUCGGGUGUGCGCUGAGUCACAUACACCUCUGGGCACGCAUUGCGGCUCUGGGUACGGUGAGCAACUUUUCCGCCGAGACGCCUGCGGCAGCGCUGCCCAAGCAAUGCUUUCUUGUGCUGGAGGAUGACUCGACAUUGACGGAUAGCGACGACAGUGGCAGCGGCUCACCCGCCGCAUCACCUUCGCUUCCGUUUCUCGACCAGCUUCAGCGCCGAAUGAAUAGCGUGCCGCCGGACUGGGAGCUUGUAUACGUGAGUGGCCUCGACACAGCAAGGCAGUGCCCACACAUGCAGGUAGCCAAGGGUGUGGCGCGCGUCCCGCAGUACCAUCGCACGACGAAUGCAUACCUGGUCACUCCGCAAGGCGCACGCCGGCUGCUCGCCACUUGUGUUCCACUCACAUUCCAGCUCGACACUGCAAUGACAAUGAACGUGGGCUACCCUCCGGGUGUUGUCGGUGUCGCGGGUGCACAGACGCUGCCGCACGUGCUCGAUCCGGUCUGCUACACUCUCCAACCGCCGCUCAUGCAGCAGGCCGCACAGCUUGGCACCGACAUCCAGCACUGAAUGUGAGGUUGCCGCUUGCCGGCGACAGCCUCCUACCCCUCCUCACCCGCCUCUUUCGUUCAUUACGACCUCGCUCGUUAAAGUAGGAAAGCUCAAAACAGCAGAGGAUCCUGCAUCACCAUCACAAGCGUGUACGGCAGGCCGCUCAAGGCUCGCCGGCAAAGUGCCCGGGCGCACCUGUUGGUGUUUCUAUUUUUCUGAGUUUCCGCAGCUGACGUUUUCCCUGCUUGUGUGUAUAUGCGGGCCGAUAUAUCUGUUUCUACCGCCCUCCUCGCCCCUCGAUCAACCUUCCGCGGUUGCGUCACUCCCCGCCCCCAUCCUCUGUCGUGCACAGGGAGGUGAACGCGGCAGGUGCCUCCUUCACUGACAGUGUGUCAGCAGGAGCUCCAUCGGCCUCGCCCUACUCUGCUCAAGGCGCACAUACAGGAAUGCUCAACAGCAAUCUCUUUGAUGGGACUUUGCGACUCGCGACAUGUGUGUGCAUGCUCCGACAAGCUGCCGAUCAACAGGAGAAUAGCAUCCAACG
rnacentral:misc_RNA from 1 species